rnacentral:piRNA from 1 species
UACGAACAAUAGUUUAAAACCAAGUGCAUG